GUCCAGACUCCUACGGGAGGCAGCAGUGAGGAAUAUUGGUCAAUGGGCGAGAGCCUGAACCAGCCAAGUCGCGUGAGGGAAGACGGCCCUACGGGUUGUAAACCUCUUUUGUCAGGGAGCAAGAACGGAUACGUGUAUCCGAGCGAGAGUACCUGAAGAAAAAGCAUCGGCUAACUCCGUGCCAGCAGCCGCGGUAAUACGGAGGAUGCGAGCGUUAUCCGGAUUUAUUGGGUUUAAAGGGUGCGUAGGCGGAAUGCCAAGUCAGCGGUAAAAUCGGGGGGCUCAACCUCGCUCCGCCGUUGAAACUGGCGUUCUUGAGUGGGCGAGAAGUAUGCGGAAUGCGUGGUGUAGCGGUGAAAUGCAUAGAUAUCACGCAGAACUCCGAUUGCGAAGGCAGCAUACCGGCGCCCAACUGACGCUGAAGCACGAAAGCGUGGGUAUCGAACAGGAUUAGAUACCCUCGUA
rnacentral:rRNA from 1 species